CAUUAAGAAAAUUAAAGAAAGGCGAUGGGUGUUCCUCACCUGAGUCAGCAUUUGUCUCAUGAAUGUUCCCUCAAAAUAAAUAAAUAAAAGGCAAGAAACGGUGUACACAGUAUACAAGCCCUUUCUCUCUCUCGAUUGUCACGGCAAUGCCCCACCCCCCAAAGCAACUAUUACAAUAGAGGCUCCUUUACAGAGGAGGGAAACAGAGGCUCAGACUGAUCCUGCUGCAGAUCCAGGAGGUAGCCAACCUGGGCUGUGAGUCUGUCCCCCUUCCUUCUGAUGCAUUUCUCCGUUCCCUGUAAAUGAGCCCAACAGUUCGGUGCCCGCCUCUUCCUUGUAAAUAGUGGCCUUCCUCUUCUCCUGGGGGGUUCACCAGGCCCCUUUCUGCUGGCCCUCUCCGGUUCUUCUCACUCACAGACAAGCAGGUCUUUCAACUGCAUUUUGAUGGCACGCUCCGUUUCCCUCUGUCCAUCCAAUCUUUUGGAUCAACAAUCCAAUUUAGGUCUUGUCAUUCUAAAGUUUUACCCUUAUCUCCAAUGUAUUCCUCUCAGUCUCUCUCUCUCCUCCCUCCCCACCUUCCUAUCACACCUGCACCCCAUUCUACGUUUCCAGUAAAUGUAGAGUAAAGGUGCCAUGCGAGGAUACAGCAAGAAAACCAGGAAGAGGGUUUUCACCAGGAUUGAAGUGGCCAGGCUUCAGAACUGUGAGGAAUAAAUUUCUGUUGUUUAAGCACCCCCACAGAACAUAAAUAAAUAAAAAAGAGAGGAUCACAUAAUAAAACAUGCUUGCCUAAGGCUGAGCCCUCAGCAGGGUCUGUAGGAGGUCCAGGAGCCAUCAGGAGGGGCUCAAGGAUGUGACUGUUACCAUGGUAUUCUUGUCUGGUACACCAGGAUUGGGCUAAGCUCUGCCGAUAGAGAUAAGCUAAGGGAACCCCGGAUGUUAAGGAACAUAGUCUAGUGGAUGUGAGAUGCUAGAUCAUAAUUAAGAUGAGAUCUUCUGUGUGACUGCUAUAAACCAGCUGUUAAUCAAGACACACACAUAAAAAGGUUUAGCAGAAAAUUGUUCAAAGUAAUCAGAGGUGGGCUGUUUAUUGGGACCUUGAGUAGAAACUUAAGUAGUAGUUGGAGUAAAUUGAAUCAAAUUACAGAAAGCGGAGGCAAUUCGAAGGAAUUGGGUGUGUAUGCAUUCAAAGGAAAGAGGGUAAUAAAACUGUAACAUAGUUUAGGAUUAAGAACAAGGACUUGGGAGUUGGAGACAUUGACUCCUGGUUCUGGUGUAUCUCAACCUAAUCGAGUGACUUUGAACAAGUUGCUUAGGUUCCUUGAGCCUUGGUUUCUUCAUGGAAAACAAACUGAUAAUACUUAUCUUUGGGGUUAUCAUAAGGAUUAAAUGCAAAAAUGCAUAUAGCAUACUUAAUGCAGAGCUUAGAACAUAUAUACUUAAUAAAUAUUAGCUGUUAUUAUUAUAUUAAUAAUUAUAAAGAUACAUUCAUGGCUUCAAAGUGUCCUUGGUUUACAAUGCCUGAGAAAUCUAGAAAAGGUCAGCCUUUCUCUCUUAGAAAGUCCCUGAGCUGGUGUCCCCUGAGGAACCCUAUUUGGGUACAAAGAGCCAAAGUUUUAGAAACUUUAGGCUUUGAAGUCACAUCAGGACUUCCGCCCCCCUCCCCAGACACAGCACACCCCAAGCCACAGAUGUGCCCAACAGCAGGAGCUCAAUUAGUGAUUACUGAAUCAGAAAGUCACAAAGAUCUGAAACUUUUAUGAAAAAGAGUUGGGCUAUAAUUCCUCUCCAUCAAAUGAAGCAGUCCCUUUGAGUUGUGACAUCUUACAACUGUAUUUUCAGGCAGAGGUCCUCUGGCAGAUUGGAGUGGGUGAAAGGUUAAGAGAGGAGAAGGUACUGGUGCAAGAUACACCCUUUUCUCUUUAGAGUCUCCUGCAAGAAAUUCUUGCUUUUGGAAUUCCUUGAGACCCUAAAUUUAAUUUCAAGGAGAAGUCAUUUGCCUACAUUUACAGUGCGGGACCCUUCUGGAUUUCUUCCUGGUAGAUUUCUUUACAUUUCCUUUUCUCAUCAGUUGUAGUUGGCAUGUCAGUGGAAAGCACAGAAUAUUGUCCUACAUCAUAGACACUAUCAGGAAGUUCCAGAGUUUUCUUGGAGGCUGGCAUGUAGUAGGCACUAAGAACGUAUCUGUGGAAUGGAUAAAUUAACGCAGUGCCUUAGAGAUCUAAUUCAGCUUGCCUAUUUUACAGAUUGGGAAACUGAAGAAAAAAUGAGUCGCAUUAAUUCAUCAGUAACAGAGCUGGUCUAGAGCCCAACAUCUCUCCAAGCCUAGAAAUUAUAAUAUUAUAAAGUUCCAGAUUUUAAUGACUGUUAGACAUAAUGAAGAACACAAGAAGUUUUAAUGUUGAGUAGGAAAUAGACCCUGGCCGCCAUUGGCAAACUAUAUAAGAGGCGUAAUUUAGGCACCAUAUGCAGGAAGAUAUUUGUUGCUGAUGCUCAGCUCUACCAUCAUAGCCCCAAAACCACCAUAGGCAACACAUAAAUGAAUGAGCAUGGCUGUGUCCCAAUAAAACUUUGGUAACUAUGUGAGGUGAAAAGAAUUUUUAUUUAUAGACACUGAAAUUUGAAUCCCAUAAUUCACAUGUGUCAUGAACCGUUAUUCUUUGGAUAUUGUCAAGCAUUUAAGAAAAUGUAAGAACCAGUCUUUGCUCCCAGGCCCUACAAAAACAGGUGGAGGGCUGGAUUUGGCCAAGUCCUGAUCUAUGGCAUUAAAAAGAAGAAAAUUCUUGCAGAAUUUUUGGCAGCUGCAGAGACUGCCUUAGCCCUUCUCUCCCUCUGUGCUUAGGAAGAGUGCCGGAAGCAUGGGGCAGCAGAGUUCCAAAGCUUCCUGCCAUGGUAAUCUGUUCCUUCCACUUGUUUAGGAUCUGUCUUUUCAGGACCAGACUAACUUCUUUCGGAGUGCUUCUGUGAGUUUGCACAGUCGUGAAAACACCAAAAUGGCCUAUAAUGGGGAUUGGUUGACUAAGUUCUCUCUCUGUAAAAGGCACGUAUGGAACUAUCUCAGGGACAGCAAGUACACGUCAUUUCCUCCAGUGGUGCACCGGAAUUGGCUUGGACCAGCUCACGAGAGCUGAUUAUUACGUUUUCAGGAAUUUUGUGAGCCAGGUCACAACUCACUGAUUGCUUGAAAUCAGCCAUGGGAAUGUUUAAACCAUGUAAACUGACAAAUGCCACAAGUCGGGACAUCACCUCCCACCCCCAGCCCCAACUCUGAGAACUAGUUAGUAAACAUUUAUCUGCAUA